rnacentral:hammerhead_ribozyme from 1 species
AUCCAAAUGACGAGUUCGAAGUAGGACGAAACGCGUGUCCUGGAU